rnacentral:lncRNA from 1 species
GGCAGAUGGACAGACACACUUAAAGGUAAAUAGACAGAUGACUCCCUUUCCAAAGGUCUUAAUCUCAUUACAGUAUUUCUAAUAGCAGCCAAAUAUGGUGACACAGGCCUUUAAUGGAGGCACCCGGGAAGCAGACACAGGCAGAUAUGAGUUCAAGGCCAAGCUGGUCUAUAUACCAAGUUAUUAACUAAGCCACAGUAAUGGUUUAAAAUAAGUCUAGUCAUUUCUAGAGAUGAUUGGCAAUAGCUAGUUUGUUUGUUUGUUUGUUUGUUUGUUUGUUUCCCUGCUCUGCUUAGUUCUACAAAUUCUAUAGAAAAUCUGGGUCAGGCUGAACUUUGUUGGCUGAAUUUCAACCCCUUUCAAUGUCUGUUCUGGGAAGGUUGUUGACAGACAGAGUGACGACAGGACUCAGGACUGGGCUCCUUCUUUGAACUAUGGUACCCUUUGCAUGUCUCCCUUUCAUUGACAGUUCUUUGAUUCUUUGCAAUUGAAAUUCCCUUUCACGACAGACUGAUAAGUCUUUUUAGAAGAUAAUUAUAAAAUAAAAAGAAUUCAAGAUUUCUGGUGGUCAUAAAAUAUUUGCCAUAUUCAAUGGUUUGCUUCUACAUUUUUUCAAGGAUUGAAUGAACUACUUGUGACUGUUGGGACUUAAAAUAAUU